UCUUCCUUCUGAUCUUUCCGUCUCCUUCGCUUCUUCUCCUUCUCUUUCCUUCUUACGUCGCUGCUAUGGCGGUAGUAACGGUUUUAGGGUAUUCUGUGGCUUUAGCUCGAGUUUGCUGAGUUUCAAUAUGAAAUUUCAACAAACUCCAAAAGAAAAAUUAGAGCUUUAGUGAUGUUUUGAUUCUAUUUUUGCAGAGUAACGGCGCCAG
rnacentral:lncRNA from 1 species